UGUGACGUUACCAAACUGUUGCCUCGGCGGGAUCUCUGCCCCGGGUGCGUCGCAGCCCCGGACCAAGGCGCCCGCCGGAGGACCAACCUAAAACUCUUAUUGUAUACCCCCUCGCGGGUUUUUUUUAUAAUCUGAGCCUUCUCGGCGCCUCUCGUAGGCGUUUCGAAAAUGAAUCAAAACUUUCAACAACGGAUCUCUUGGUUCUGGCAUCGAUGAAGAACGCAGCGAAAUGCGAUAAGUAAUGUGAAUUGCAGAAUUCAGUGAAUCAUCGAAUCUUUGAACGCACAUUGCGCCCGCCAGUAUUCUGGCGGGCAUGCCUGUCCGAGCGUCAUUUCAACCCUCGAACCCCUCCGGGGGGUCGGCGUUGGGGAUCGGCCCUCCCUUAGCGGGUGGCCGUCUCCGAAAUACAGUGGCGGUCUCGCCGCAGCCUCUCCUGCGCAGUAGUUUGCACACUCGCAUCGGGAGCGCGGCGCGUCCACAGCCGUUAAACACCCAACUUCUGAAAUGUUGACCUCGGAUCAGGUAGGAAUACCCGCUGAACUUAAGCAUA
rnacentral:rRNA from 1 species